GUCUUCUCUACCCCUUCAAAAUUGGGCAUUGAUCUCUUCUCUGGAUUUGAUUAAAUUAGUGAACGAUCCAUCCAAGACGGCGCGGGUGGCGGGCGGCCCUGUAGAUGCCCGCGCAGCCUCCAGCGAGGGGACGGUUUCCCCCUUUCACAGAUGGUGAAGACUCCAUCAGCCUGGGUCUUAGACUGAGGACAACGUGGAGUGGAGACCUCUGCUGACUUUUGAUGGAGAUGUACUACUGUGAGAUCCUUGAAGGCCAAACUCUCACUUAUCUGUGAAGCCUGAAGGACCUGGCCCAGAAUCUGAUUGCAAAGCAGGAAUGAGCAGGGGUCCUGCAUAUAUGUGAACAGCAGUCCUUGGAGUUGUGCAACCCAGCCCUGCCCUGGCCUGGCUCACACACCCAGCUGAUCCCCAUGGCGUCUGACAGCCUGGUCACCUCGGUGCAGAGGUGUCCACCUUCCGAUCCUCACUUUGAUGGAG
rnacentral:lncRNA from 1 species